rnacentral:lncRNA from 1 species
GACAAUCGACGUUUUGAGGGUGUGACAACAGGCGUUGCAUCAACAUUUUGCUACGCCCAUAUCGACCCAAGUGAAUAAUGACGAUUUGUAUUUGUAGAGUGGUUGUGGCGUCGGCUUUUUGCUUGUCCUUGUGACAAAAAUUUAAUCAUCAACUUGGAGAUGUCAUAACCGGUCUGAAUAUUAAACUGGAAAAUCAACUACAACAAUGAUGUGCGGGGUAGUGGGGGAAAAAUCAAUGUUGUAGAUCAUGCCACAUGGUAGUGUGUAAAUCAAGGUGUAACCCAUAAUGACCUGUAGCAGGGUUGUUUUUAUGUAUUUU